UGGGGAAUAUUGGGCAAUGGGCGCAAGCCUGACCCAGCAACGCCGCGUGAAGGAAGAAGGCUUUCGGGUUGUAAACUUCUUUUCUCAGGGACGAAGCAAGUGACGGUACCUGAGGAAUAAGCCACGGCUAACUACGUGCCAGCAGCCGCGGUAAUACGUAGGUGGCAAGCGUUAUCCGGAUUUACUGGGUGUAAAGGGCGUGUAGGCGGGGAAGCAAGUCAGAUGUGAAAACCACGGGCCCAACCUGUGGCCUGCAUUUGAAACUGUUUUUCUUGAGUACUGGAGAGGCAGACGGAAUUCCUAGUGUAGCGGUGAAAUGCGUAGAUAUUAGGAGGAACACCAGUGGCGAAGGCGGUCUGCUGGACAGCAACUGACGCUGAGGCGCGAAAGCGUGGGGAGCAAAUAGGAUUAGAUACCC
rnacentral:rRNA from 1 species